GAUGAACGCUGGCGGCGUGCCUAAUACAUGCAAGUCGAGCGAACGGACGAGAAGCUUUCUUCUCUUAUGUUAGCGGCGGACGGGUGAGUAAUACGUGGAUAACCUAUCUAUAAGACUGGGAUAACUUCGCGAAACCUGAUCUAAUAUCGGUUCAUUUUUUGAACCUCAUGGUUCAUCAGUGCUCGACGUUUUUGCUGUCCCUAAUACAUGUUUCCUCGCUGCAUUAGCUAGUUGGUAAGGUAACGGCUUACCAAGGCAACGAUGCGUAGCCGACCUGAGAGGAUGAUCGGCCACACUGGAACUGAGACACGGUCCAGACUCCUACGGGAGGCAGCAGUAGGGAAUAUUCCGCAAUGGGCGAAAGCCUGACGGAGCAACGCCGCGUGAGUGAUGAAGGUCUUCGGAUCGUAAAACUCUGUUAUUAGGGAAGAACAGAUGUGUAAGUAACUGUGCACAUCUUGACGGUACCUAAUCAGAAAGCCACGGCUAACUACGUG
rnacentral:rRNA from 1 species